CUUGAUAAGAAGAACAGCUAAUGUAACAAUGAAAUGAAACAGAAUUCCAGAAGAGCUUUAAGUGCUUGGAGGAACUCUACAAGAUGGAGAUUGAAAGUCAACUUUAUAUUGAUGUUUUCCUGCUAGAUCAGCUCAUCUCCCAGCAGUGAGUCAAAGUCCUUGGAAUCGUUUCUGCUUCCUCUACUACACUAUCUAUGUAUCUGACCCUAAAUUCCCAUAUUUUCUUUUCUCUUUACACUGCUUUGCUCAUGAG
rnacentral:lncRNA from 11 species